rnacentral:rRNA from 1 species
AUUGAACGCUGGCGGCAGGCUUAACACAUGCAAGUCGAACGAGGGGCGGACGGGUGAGUAAUGCUAGGGAAUCUGGCUUAUGGAGGGGGAUAACGACGGGAAACUGUCGCUAAUACCGCGAAACAUAGGAUGAGCCUAAGUGGGUGUAGGUAGUUGGUGGGGUAAUGGCCCAACAAGCCGACGAUCUCUAGCUGGUCUGAGAGGAUGACCAGCCACCCCGGGACUGAGCCACGGCCCGGACUCCUACGGGUGGCAGCAGUGGGGAAUAUUGCGCAAUGGGGGCAACCUGACGCAGCCAUGCCGCGUGAAUGAAGAAGGCCUUCGGGUUGUAAAGUUCUUUCGGUGACGAGGCGUUAAUCACAUAAGAAGCACCGGCUAACUCCGUGCCAGCAGCCGCGGUAAUAC